rnacentral:rRNA from 1 species
AUGCCGCGUGAGUGAAGAAGGCCUUCGGGUUGUAAAGCUCUUUCGGACAGAAAGAAAUCGCACUGGUUAAUACCUUGUGUGGAUGACGGUACUGUAAGAAGAAGCACCGGCUAACUACGUGCCAGCAGCCGCGGUAAUACGUAGGGUGCGAGCGUUAAUCGGAAUUACUGGGCGUAAAGCGUGCGCAGGCGGUUUUGUAAGACAGACGUGAAAUCCCCGGGCUUAACCUGGGAACUGCGUUUGUGACUGCAAGGCUAGAGUACGGCAGAGGGGGGUAGAAUUCCACGUGUAGCAGUGAAAUGCGUAGAUAUGUGGAGGAAUACCGAUGGCGAAGGCAGCCCCCUGGGUCGAUACUGACGCUCAUGCACGAAAGCGUGGGGAGCAAACAGGAUUAGAUACCCUGGUAGUCCACGCCCUAAACGAUGUCAACUAGGUGUUG